rnacentral:lncRNA from 1 species
AAGUAUAAUUGAAAGAAUAAUCAACACAAUCAAGUUUACUUGGGUCUUUGUUCAAGCAUUGCUAGAUGAUACUACAGAGGCACUAAACUCACUCUGUAAAAAUAACCUGGACAUAGCCAAUGUACUGAGAAUUGAAAGGUGCAUGCUAUGGCGAGAAAUUAAUAAGGGAAAAGAAGCCUCACCAGACACAAUUCUCCAAUAUUACAACUGGAAGAAGAGUCAGCAAGUGCAAGCAAGUCCUUAUGGAGGAAAUAAAAUGAAAGGCACCCAGGAGGAUCAGCAGAUACCCAGGAGGGGAACCCAGCUACCGCAUGAGAGCAGUGUAUCCAGGACACCUGAUGAAGUUGCUGAGGAAAUUAAUGGAGAUGAGGCAGGAGAGAAGAGGGAAGAUGAAGACAGCAUCAAAGAAGCUGCCCCAGAAAUGACGACUCCACUUCCUUUCUGUGAAACAAAAGAUUAUGCUGUUUCCCCAUCAGCUGAGAGGAGCAAAGAAGCAGGCAGGCCAUUAAAUGAAGUUCCUGCUAUCAUGACUGCCAGUGAGCUGCUUC